AAGACGAGAAGACCCCAUGGAGCUUCAAACCCAACUACACCCCUAGCUCUUAUAGCCCCACAACCCCCCCCUAGGCGCCGUGUGCUUGGUUUUAGGUUGGGGCGACCGCGGAGUACAAUAAAACCUCCACAAUGAAUGGGAACACCCCCUUAUCUGAGGGCCACACCCCCUAAGAAUUAGAACACUAACAUAAAAUGAUCCAUUACUUGAUCAAUGAACCAAGUUACCCUGGGGAUAACAGCGCAAUCCAUUUCAAGAGCCCCUAUCGACAAA
rnacentral:rRNA from 1 species